GACGAACGCUGGCGGCGUGCUUAACACAUGCAAGUCGAACGGAAAGGCCCUGCUUUUGUGGGGUGCUCGAGUGGCGAACGGGUGAGUAACACGUGAGUAACCUGCCCUUGACUUUGGGAUAACUUCAGGAAACUGGGGCUAAUACCGGAUAGGAGCUCCUGCUGCAUGGUGGGGGUUGGAAAGUUUCGGCGGUUGGGGAUGGAUUCGCGGCUUAUCAGCUUGUUGGUGGGGUAGUGGCUUACCAAGGCUUUGACGGGUAGCCGGCCUGAGAGGGUGACCGGCCACAUUGGGACUGAGAUACGGCCCAGAGUCCUACAGGAGGCAGCGGUGGGGAGUAUUGCACAAUGGGCGGAAGCCUGAUGCAGCAACGCCGCGUGCGGGAUGACGGCCUUCGGGUUGUAAACCGCUUUCGCCUGUGACGAAGCGUGAGUGACGGUAAUGGGUAAAGAAGCACCGGCUAACUACGUG
rnacentral:rRNA from 1 species